AGACGAAGGGAGCGAGCGUUGUUCGGUAUCACUGGGCUUAAAGGGCGCGUAGGCGGCCAGAUGGGUCGGUUGUGAAAUCCCUGGGCUCAACCCAGGAAUGGCUUCCGAAACUAUUUGGCUUGAGGCAUUCUGGGGGCGACUGGAACUCUUGGUGGAGCGGUGGUAUGCGUAGAUAUCAAGAGGAACGCCAGUGGUGAAGACGGGUCGCUGGGAAUGUCCUGACGCUGAGGCGCGAAAGCUAGGGGAGCGAACGGGAUUAGAAACCCCAGUAGUCC
rnacentral:rRNA from 1 species